rnacentral:rRNA from 1 species
AGUGGGGAAUAUUGCACAAUGGGCGCAAGCCUGAUGCAGCGACGCCGCGUGAGGGAUGACGGCCUUCGGGUUGUAAACCUCUUUCAGUAGGGAAGAAGCGAAAGUGACGGUACCUGCAGAAGAAGCACCGGCUAACUACGUGCCAGCAGCCGCGGUAAUACGUAGGGUGCGAGCGUUAUCCGGAAUUAUUGGGCGUAAAGAGCUCGUAGGCGGUUUGUCGCGUCUGUCGUGAAAGUCCGGGGCUUAACCCCGGAUCUGCGGUGGGUACGGGCAGACUAAAGUGCAGUAGGGGAGACUGGAAUUCCUGGUGUAGCGGUGGAAUGCGCAGAUAUCAGGAGGAACACCGAUGGCGAAGGCAGGUCUCUGGGCUGUAACUGACGCUGAGGAGCGAAAGCAUGGGGAGCGAA